GCGUUACAUGAAAGUAGAGGUUAGCACUCCUCUUGACAAGGAUGGAAGAGGUCAUUGGGCCAGCAACACACAUAUGGGGAAGGCGUUGCCACCUACGUUGUGGCAUCUAGUAGUUAGG
rnacentral:ncRNA from 1 species